rnacentral:lncRNA from 1 species
UUAGAGAGCACGCUACCAGUUUCGGUAGAGUAUCAUUGCCUCGUUCAAUGUGGCAUUUUUAUAUAUAUUUUGUGACUUUACAGUUCAAAUUUUUUGUAAGCAAAAAAAAAAAAAAUACCUGGUACUUUUUAAUUUGUUUUUCAUAGGCUGGUACCUUCUUUGGCUAAUAUCUUUCCUUAACUUGUGAUAUAUUCAUAGCACACAUUUAUAGAAAAAAAAAGAAAACAAUGAAAAAACAAAAGGAAAGAAAAAAUGAACAAAAAAACUAAGGACCUAAUUAAUUCCCUAUUUUAAUGUAUCUAUUGUAAGUUAAAAAUCUGGAUUUAUUUCUCUAAUUUUCUUAUUUCCUAUUUUAAUAGUUCAAUGCCAAAACAUGUCUAUGCUUUACCUCCUGGCACAGUGUAUGCUAAAUCAGAUCUACUACUAAACCACAUGCCGUAUCUUGUCUUAUACAUGAAGCAGCACCCCUUGAACAUCUUCCUGUACAUUUAACACAUAAAUGGCAAUUGUCUUUGUCUCAGUAAAGUGUGGGUGGACAAUCUUCCCGUGAUAUGUAGUGACACUGGUCAUGUAGCUAGAUAAUUGUGGUAAUUUGUGACAAUAAAAAAAAUAAAUAAAUUAUUGAUUAUCCUUAUGAAAAGUUAACCAAGGACUGUUAUUUUCUUUGCCCACGGUGGUUAACAUGUUUGGUUGUAUGUGUACUAUUAGAAGACUCUUAAUUGUGAAUUUAUAAAUUGUGCAGUUUUUCUAUCACCUUUUUCCUUUUCCAAUAAAGUUGUUUCG